GCCGGAGGCUGCAAGCGUUAUCCGGAAUGCUUGGGCGUAAAGCGUCCGCAGGUGGCCGUUCAAGUCUGCUGUCAAAGACCGGGGCUUAACUUCGGAAAGGCAGUGGAAACUGAACAGCUAGAGUAUGGUAGGGGCAGAGGGAAUUCCUGGUGUAGCGGUGAAAUGCGUAGAGAUCAGGAAGAACAUCGGUGGCGAAGGCGCUCUGCUGGACCAUAACUGACACUCAGGGACGAAAGCUAGGGGAGCGAAUGGG
rnacentral:rRNA from 1 species